AGUAAAUGGUUGUGUCACAGCUUGGUCGCCUGACAGAGCUUCAACAAAAGCUGGUUGUGUCCUCUACUAGUCUCUACUUGCAGAACAGAAUAUGUUACGCAGUGUUCUUAUCCGUUAUUAAAGAGGUAUCCCUGGAGAGUGGAAUGGUGCUGAAUGAGGGGGAGUUGACUGCAUUCUUUAUCAAACACAGUACAAAUCCUGAUGUGCUGGACAAACACCUCUCCUUAUCACUUACUUGCCCUGCUAAGCUGAAAGAGCUGAUUUUCAACGAACUAUCUAAUUUAAAGAUAAGCUUACCCCCUCGCGGUUUUUUGCUGGACUCGGAAUUCAUCGUGGGGGUAGCCAGCAAGGGGAGCCCUUUCAUUAAAAUGGACGUUACUCUCAGUGACGGAAAAGGAGGGAUUGAAAAUAAAAACUUCAAUAUGAGUUUGCACACUUUUAAUAGAUUAGAACAGUCAUCAAAUGAAAUUAAAAAUCUGUGCAGUCACUAAAAUCUGGUCGAUAAUAAUCAACGAUCAUAUUAUUAUGAUCGUUGCGUUGUUGAUUUUAAUUUUGUUAACUCGAUUGAUUGUUGUUUUAAGAGUAUUUUGAUUUUAGUGGUUUUAUGUCUGAUUUUAUUUCUGAUUUGAUAAUGUUUCUAAAAGUUAAAAUGUUAACACCGUACUUUUUCAUAUAAAAAUUGUACUGUAUUACUAUGUAUAGUGUAGGGUUAUGCAAAAUGAAAUGUAUAUAAUACACAUUAACUUUAUAUUAUGCACAAUUUAUUAUUUUAUUUGUAGUAAAUACGCUGUCAAUAAUUCACCAGCAACCUCGGCAUGGGCCAGUCGUACUAACUAAAUUUAAAUAGGCAGCUACAUACCUCACAUACCUGGUUCCUAUCUAACAACUCAGAAAGUGCAUUAUUAGAAGAUGAUUAAAACUUUACAAAUCCUUAAGGCCACUUUAACUGUGCUCAACUAUGCUUGUAUUAUGAGCUUUAUUUUGAAUAGUUUUUUACAAUAUUUAGUGUC